CUCUCUCUCUCUCUCUCCCCAAUCUCGUCCUGCUCUUCUUCUUCCUCUUCAACACCAAAACUCCAAUCUCCUCCUCCUCUUCAAACCCUAACAUCUCAUCUCUACAUUCCCUUCUUUCACCCUCCUGGAUCGUGCCAAUCUCGCAGGUAUGUUAUUCACCAUUUCCUUCGCGCUUCUCUCCUUCGAACCUGCUCUUCGAAACGAGGAUACCAGCUCGAUUGCCGAUCAAAAAGUUGUAGGUUUUCUUAUCUUCUGGAUCUGCGAAUCGUUGAAAUUUCAGCGUUUCUGUUCGAAUCGGUUGUGGAAAUCGAUAAUAAGGUCUUCAUAAGCCCUAGAUCUGCAAAUCCACAGAUUACCAGUUAGAUUGCAGCAAAACAACGACCACAAUUUUGCUGGUUGACGCAAACAGAGGAUCCGUAUUCCUCUUUUAGACAGUGAACCCAGUUGGAGGGCAUUCCCAGGUCGGCCCCAGUCCAAAGAUUCCAAACCCCAAAGAAUUCAAACGGGGAAGACAACCAUUCCAUUGCUCAUGUUGACCAGAUGGCGACGACAACGGAAUCAGAAGGUGAGGAAGAAGUGAAGCUGGUGGGGAACGAGCAUCUAUUGGUGGAGAAUGAUCUUAGGGAGAUGGGAAAGAAGGCAGUUUGGAGUGUAAGCUCUUGCAAGCCCGGCAAUGGUAUCCAUUCCCUACACGAUGAUAACCUUGACACCUACUGGCAAUCAGAUGGUGCCCAGCCCCACCUUAUCAACAUCCAGUUCCAGAAAAAAGUCAAGCUCCAGGAAAUAAAAACUGUGGAAGUCGUGAAGCCAGUUGGGUGGGUUUAUAUAUCCUUAUCUGGAACUGAUCCUCGGGCCAUGGUGAAACUAGCACCAGGACUGCAAUACACCAGCAAGCUGAUGUAGGUGUAGAAGAAGAUUUGGAUAAGGCUAAACUAUCGAAGUUGAGAUCCAUGAUGGCCCGUACAACAUCAAGAACUGGAACUACAUUGCAUUGAUUGGCGCCAUCCACAAUGGAGAAGGCAAAUGUUGGACAGCCAAGCUGGGGCACGGUGACUAUUCUGCUGCAAAUACAAAGGUUUUGCGAAUGGUGAAUACAUUGGCUGUUGAUAAUGAGGCAAAACAUACUAUAGAGGCAUUACAAGCUGAAC